rnacentral:rRNA from 1 species
GGAGGGUGCGAGCGUUGUCCGGAAUCACUGGGCGUAAAGGGCGCGUAGGCGGCGCAGUAAGUAGGGGGUGAAAUCUCAUGGCUCAACCGUGAAACGGCCUCCUAAACUGCUGUGCUUGAGCACGGUAGAGGCAGAUGGAAUUCCCGGUGUAGCGGUGGAAUGCGUAGAUAUCGGGAAGAACACCAGUGGCGAAGGCGGUCUGCUGGGCCGUUGCUGACGCUGAGGCGCGACAGCGUGGGGGGAGCAAACAGGAUUAGAUACCCUGGUAGUCCACGCCGUAAACGAUGGGUACUAGGCGUCGGGGGGGAGCGACCCCUUCGGUGCCGUCGCUAACGCAGUAAGUACCCCGCCUGGGGAGUACGGCCGCAAGGCUG